rnacentral:rRNA from 1 species
UACGUAGGGGGCAAGCGUUGUCCGGAAUCAUUGGGCGUAAAGAGCGCGUAGGCGGUCCGAUAAGUCGGCUGUGAAAGUCAGGGGCUCAACCCUUGAAAGCCGGCCGAUACUGUCGGACUAGAGUCCGGAAGAGGCGAGUGGAAUUCCUGGUGUAGCGGUGAAAUGCGCAGAUAUCAGGAGGAACACCAGCGGCGAAGGCGGCGCUCUGGGCCGGUACUGACGCUGAGGAGCGAAAGCGUGGGUAGCAAACAGG